AUUGAACGCUGGCGGCAGGCUUAACACAUGCAAGUCGAGCGGAGAGAGGUAGCUUGCUACUGAUCUUAGCGGCGGACGGGUGAGUAAUGCUUAGGAAUCUGCCUAUUAGUGGGGGACAACAUUUCGAAAGGAAUACUAAUACCGCAUACGUCCUACGGGAGAAAGCAGGGGAUCUUCGGACCUUGCGCUAAUAGAUGAGCCUAAGUCGGAUUAGCUAGUUGGUGGGGUAAAGGCCUACCAAGGCGACGAUCUGUAGCGGGUCUGAGAGGAUGAUCCGCCGCACUGGGACUGAGACACGGCCCAGACUCCUACGGGAGGCAGCAGUGGGGAAUAUUGGACAAUGGGCGCAAGCCUGAUCCAGCCAUGCCGCGUGUGUGAAGAAGGCCUUAUGGUUGUAAAGCACUUUAAGCGAGGAGGAGGCUACUUUAGAUAAUACCUAGAGAUAGUGGACGUUACUCGCAGAAUAAGCACCGGCUAACUCUGUGCCAGCAGCCGCAGUAACAC
rnacentral:rRNA from 1 species